rnacentral:rRNA from 1 species
CCUACGGGAGGCAGCAGUGGGGAAUAUUUCACAAUGGGGGAAACCCUGAUGCAGCGACGCCGCGUGAGUGAAGAAGUAUUUCGGUAUGUAAAGCUCUAUCAGCAGGGAAGAAAAAAGACGGUACCUGACUAAGAAGCCCCGGCUAACUACGUGCCAGCAGCCGCGGUAAUACGUAGGGGGCAAGCGUUAUCCGGAUUUACUGGGUGUAAAGGGAGCGUAGACGGAGAUGCAAGUCUGAAGUGAAAGCCCGGGGCUUAACCACGGGACUGCUUUGGAAACUGUGUGAGUAGAGUGCUGGAGAGGUAAGUGGAAUUCCUAGUGUAGCGGUGAAAUGCGUAGAUAUUAGGAGGAACACCAGUGGCGAAGGCGGCUUACUGGACAGUAACUGACGUUGAGGCUCGAAAGCGUGGGGAGCAAACAGGAUUAGAUACCCUGGUAGUC